CCGACUACGGCCGGUCGGACCCCGGGGCGCGGCAGUGCACGCCUCUCCGGAGAGGACAGCCACCUGCGCGCCGGCCCAGAGAGCGCCGUGACGCCACCUGUCGCGCCGACACCAGCCGCUGGCCCCGCGUCGUCUGCGGAGGCCUGAGAAGAGACGGAGGUGCAGUGCUCCGGUCAGCGCCAGCGCCAGCAGCGGCAGCGGCCUGACGUCGUGGCCGUCCCAGCAGCGCUCGCCCUGGUGCUGCUCUUGUCACUGACGACGUGCGGCGAUACCAGCCGGGCCCAGUUCCGCCUGACGCUGGCCCCGCCGCUGUGCCCCUGAGCAAGCAUCCAGUUCCGCUUGGGUGGCGUGUGUCUGCCGCGCAGUCCGAACUGGUUCGGCUGUCUGGCGGACCGGAUGUGUCUGUCGGGCCGGUGUCGAGGCGGUGUGUGCUGGGCAGCGCCAACCACCACUACUACCACUACCACUACCACCGCCACGCAGCGGCCAGGCACCAGCGGAGGUGUGGGUUGUCCCACCCCGUCGUGUGGUGGAGUUGGCAUGCGCUGCAUGGUACUUCCGAACGGAUGUAGAGUGCCUGCGUACGAGUCUAUAUUAUAAAGUUUGAAGAGCGAGACAUACAGAGACCUUAUAGAACGGAGGAGAAUACACCAUUUUAAAGCGGUCUCCAUUGAGCGCAACUCA